UACGUGCCAGCAGCCGCGGUAAUACGGAAGGUCCAGGCGUUAUCCGGAUUUAUUGGGUUUAAAGGGAGCGUAGGCUGGAGAUUAAGUGUGUUGUGAAAUGUAGACGCUCAACGUCUGAAUUGCAGCGCAUACUGGUUUCCUUGAGUACGCACAACGUUGGCGGAAUUCGUCGUGUAGCGGUGAAAUGCUUAGAUAUGACGAAGAACUCCGAUUGCGAAGGCAGCUGACGGGAGCGCAACUGACGCUUAAGCUCGAAGGUGCGGGUAUCAAACAGGAUUAGAUACCCUGGUAGUCCGCACAGUAAACGAUGGAUGCCCGCUGUUGGUACCUGGUAUCAGCGGCUAAGCGAAAGCAUUAAGCAUCCCACCUGGGGAGUACGCCGGCAACGGUGAAACUCAAAGGAAUUGACGGGGGCCCGCACAAGCGGAGGAACAUGUGGUUUAAUUCGAUGAUACGCGAGGAACCUUACCCGGGCUUGAAUUGCAGAGGAAGGAUUUAGAGAUAAUGACG
rnacentral:rRNA from 1 species